rnacentral:rRNA from 1 species
GACGAACGCUGGCGGCGUGCCUAAUACAUGCAAGUAGAACGCUGAAGGAGGAGCUUGCUCUUCUGGAUGAGUUGCGAACGGGUGAGUAACGCGUAGGUAACCUGCCUGGUAGCGGGGGAUAACUAUUGGAAACGAUAGCUAAUACCGCAUAACAGUAGAUGUUGCAUGACAUUUACUUAAAAGGUGCAAUUGCAUCACUACCAGAUGGACCUGCGUUGGAUUAGCUAGUUGGUGGGGUAACGGCUCACCAAGGCGACGAUACAUAGCCGACCUGAGAGGGGGAUCGGCCACACUGGGACUGAGACACGGCCCAGACUCCUACGGGAGGCAGCAGUAGGGAAGCUUCGGCAAUGGACGGAAGGCUGACCGAGCAACGCCGCGUGAGUGAAGAAGGUUUUCGGAUCGUAAAGCUCUGUUGUAAGAGAAGAACGAGUGUGAGAGUGGAAAGUUCACACUGUGACGGUAUCUUACCAGAAAGGGACGGCUAACUACGUG